GUAUCAACUGCAUCUGAUUGUGGAAGGACAAACAGGGCUGCCUGCUCUGUUUGUGGGCAUUAGAAGGGGAGGAUGCGCAAAUGGAAAAUUCAAACUAAACAUCAUAUCAGGAUCUGACAUAGUCACUGGAUUCAUCAGGACCUGAAUAUCAUUGGACUUUGCAUAUGGAAAGGGAAAUGUUUGUCCAUUCUGUCUGAGGGAAAAGAUUUCAAGCAUCAAUGUGAUUGGAAAAGCACCGAGACACAGAUAUCUGAGUGGGAGUGUUGCAGAGAACUAACUGUGGAAAGAGCUUUAACCAGUUACACAGCCUGAAAAAAUAUCACACUAUUCACAGCGGGGAGAAAUCGUGCAAGUGUUGUGUGUGUGCACAAGGCUUCAGCUGGUCAUGCAACCUGGAGAGACUCAAGGAUAUCCAUGCCAUGGAGAAACCAUGGAAAUGUGGGGACUGUGGGAAAGGAUUCAAUUACCCAUCCCAGUUGGAAACUUAUCGAUGCACUCACACUGGGGACAGGCCGUUCAUCUGCUCUGUGUGUGGGAAGGGAUUCACUCAGUCAUCUAUCCUGCUGACACACCAGCGAGUUCACACUGGGGAGAGACCAUUCAUUUGUUCUGUAUGUGGAAAGGGGUUUAGUUGUGCAUCCUUUCUUGUGACACUUGAGCGAGUUCACACUGGGGGGAGAGGCCAUUCACCUGCUCUGUCUGUGGGAAGCGAUUCACUGUUUCAUGCCGUCUUCUGACAAACGAGCGAGUUCACACCAGAGAGAAGCCAUUCACCUGCUCCCAGUGUGGGAAAGGAUUAAUUUCCUCAUCCCUCCUUCUGGCACAGACCGUUCACCUGCUUGGUGUGUGGGAAGGGAUUCACUGUUUCGUCCUGCCUACUGACACACCAGGGCAUUCACAAUAGAGAGACAACAUUCACCUGUUCCAUCUGUGGAAAGGGUUUCACUCAUCCAUCACAUCUGCUGAGACACCAGUGUGUGCACAUUUAGAGGAGGCUCUUACUGUUACUGUUAAUCUGCUCUGUGUGUGGGAAGGGAUCUACUUGUUCAGCCACCUCUUGACACAUCAACACCUUCACUCUGAUAAAAGACGUUUCAAAUACUCUGACUGAGAAGAGCUUUACAAUUACAAAUAACCUGCUGAAACUUCAAGAGAACAUCGACAGGCUGGUGGAUUGGGCAGACACAAAGCCUGACAAAAUUCAACACAAAAAUGUGAGGUGAUACACUUCGAUAGGAAGAUUGAGGAGAGACUGAUCAUGUUAAACAUUAAUGAACAGUAAGAGCUGUGUAAGUAAUUGGAGCUAUUGAGGGUAUUUUGAGAAAUUAGACAUUGCAAGCGUUAAAUGGUCAGAAACAUUUCUCUGGAUAGAUUCUCUCUGCAAUGAGAUGUACUGCCUUGGACUUUCUACUGCCUCAAGGUUUUGAAUGUGUGAGAAGUGGCUUUGGUGUUGUAUAAACUCCCUUAUUAUCACAAGGAAAGAACAGGGGGAAGUUCUUCUUUGAUUGUGGAAAUACAGCGAGCUCUUAUAAACCUGGGGAAUAUUAUCAAUUAGAAAUCCUUGUUACUAAUUUCCAGCAUUCAGUUUUGACACAGAACACUCGUCACCAUGAAGGUCCUGGGUUACCUCAGCAUCAUGGAAACAGACACCCAGUUUGUGUUUGUGCUCAGGCCCAGGGUGAAAAGCUAAUAGGGGGAGGCCCAGGAACUCUACCCAGAGACAGAACCUACUAGGCUAAUGAUUGGCUAGAAUGGGACAAUAGGAGAACGAUGAUUGGGUGGAUUUUUCUGUGAUUCCAGGUUUUGGGAUUUAUCCCAGUGGGUUUGAUACAUUCUCAGUUUGGAAAGGUCAGGAGGGUCACUGCUCCAAAUUGGCUUAAACAUGAAUGUGAAUCAGAGAAAUGAGGCCCCUCCUACAUCCCAAUGGUCAAUAGUGCAGAAUUAAAUUCUUCUUUUUACUUUAUAAACUACUGCUCAAACACAGUGUAUUAAGUUUCACCUGAAUAACUGUUACCAACAUGUAGGCAUCAUACAACCAUUGCGCAGAUCAUCAUCGGAACAGAAUGAUGCAGGCACUAUAUAACUGCAAGCUGUUGUUGAUAUUGACUGUGGGCGGAUUCAGUUGCCCAUCUGAACUGGAAACUUGGUCCAGUCCUGCCAGGGAGGGUGUUCACCAACUGCAUGAGGAAAAGGAUUAACAUGCUCACUCCAUUUACUGACAUGGCAGAACAGACACACUGAGAAACGCUUCAGAAAUCUCACAGAGGUGAAAAGGGAUUUCAUCCAGUUUUCUCACCUGUUAACAUCCCGGUUUUAAAAGAUCAACUGGUUCAAUGCUUGAUCAGUGCAUUGUUACUGGAGAGAGGCUGUUUAGAUGUUCUGUGUGUGAGCAGAGAUUCACUUGUUCAUCCGACCUGCUGAGACAACAGUGAGUUCACAUCUGACUGUCGGGCUUAGAUUCUGCUGUUAGAUUCGAUUCGAUUUGAUUCUUCACCAACUCCCAUUCCCUUUCUUUCUGGUGGAUAAUGGAGGGUCUGUGCACUUGGGUUUCUGUAUAAUUUUGUUCCUAAUUAUAUUGAUUGGCCCUCCAGCCCAAACCUCCACCCAUCACAGAACAAAAUGACUAUUCACAAACUGGGACCUCCAGUGGCGGGACAUUUGCCCAGCAUUCCCCACGAUGGGGAAUGUCCCCUAUCUACACCACAGGAGACCAGUGAACAGGCACAGUUUCAAACAGGGUUUGGAGCAUGCUCAGUGUGACCGAUGGCCAUGGAUGACACUUGUUUUUCGUAUCUGCCGUCGGUAAGCAGUCGAGGAGAGACAGAGGGAGUGAUGGAGCCAGCGGGUGGGUGAGGAAGCUUCACAAACACUUUCGGUAGGCCGCAAACCCCAAAUCCAUGUUUGUACCGGUCCGGUUGACAGCUCCGGGCAUUCCCCCAGUGACAGGCCCAGGUUAGGGGGACAGUGUGCACCAGGGCGCACGCACCAUCAUUCUGGGCCAGGAAACAGAAGAGAAUGCUGUGAGUUUCACAGAAUUGUUACAACACGGAAGGAGGCCAGUCAGACCAUCGUGUCUGUGCUGGCUCUCCGAACAAGCAAUUCACCUCGUGCCAUUCCCCUGCCUUCUCCCUGUAACCCCGUUCAUCCUUCCCCUUCAAAUAAUAAUUCAGAGUUUGUAUCCUGGGCUGACGGUGGUGGAUUUUGGAAACUCAAACUCAGGGAUUAGAAGGUGAGGAUUUGAACACAGCAAACUCAAACCAAGAGAAAUGUUUGUUCAGUCCUUGGUGAUUGUUCUUGUAAAAACCUUAAACAGGGGGAGUUACAAACAGGAAACUCAAACCAAGCAUCAUAUCAAGAUCUGACAGAGUCACUCGAUUCGUAAGGACCUGAAUAUCACGGCCUUUGAAUCUGGAAGGAGAAAUGUUUCUCUGUUCUGGCUGCAGGAAAAGAUUUCAAACAUCAGUGUAACUGGAAAAUCACCGAGACACACACACACUCGAGUGAGAUUGUUCCAGUGCACUGACUGUGGCAAGAGCUUUAACCAGUCACAGAGCCUGAGGAAACAUCACACCAUUCACAGCGGGGAGAGACUGUACACGUGUUCUGUGUCUGGUCAAAGCGUGAACUGAUCAUCCAACCUGGAGAGGCACAAGGACACCAACGCCAUGGAGAAACCGUGGAAAUUUGGGGACUGUGAGAAGAGAUUCAGUUCCCCAUCCCACCUGGAAGCUCAUCGAUGCACUCACACUGGGGAGAGGCUGUUCACCUGCCCCAGGUGUGGGAAGGGAUUCUCUCAGUUGUCCUGCCUUCAGACACACGAACUUGUUCAUUCUGAUAAUCUGUUUACAGGUUCUGACUGUGAGAAGAACUUGAAAAGAAAACCAGAUUUGCUGACACACCAACGUAUUCAAACUGGGGAGAGACCGUUCACCUGCUCUGUGCAUGGAAAAGGAUUCACUCAGUCAUCCAGCCUUUUGACACACCAACCAGUUCACACUGGGGAGAGGCCAUUCAGCCGCUCCGACUGUGGGAAGGGAUUCACUCAGUCAUCUCAUCUGAUGAGACACCAGCGAGUUCACACUGGGGAGAGGCCAUUCAACUGCUCCAUGUGUGGGAAGAGAUUCAUUAAUUAAUCCCACCUACAGAGACAUUAGUGAGUUCACAAGUAAAUGCAGGGUUUCGAUCCUGAUAUUAUUGCUGCUGUUAGUCACAUCCAGGACUGAACCAUCUUCAUUUUGAUACUUGGUAUUUGUUUCUGCUGAUGUUAAUGACACCCAUAACUGGGCUGGAGAUUAAUAUUCUGGAUAAAUGUCAAAUAAACCAGCUUGGUGUCAAA